GAUUGGCUUCGGCCUCAUAUCCUCUCAAACCUGUGCACCUCUUGGCUCCGGCCAAUUCAAACAUGUGUCAUGAAUGUAAAUAAACAAAAACUUAAACAAAACUUUUAACAACGGAUCUCUUGGUUCU
rnacentral:misc_RNA from 1 species